AAGCUCGUAGUUGAAUUUCGAGACCGGUCUACUGGUCGUGCUUUUGUACGUACUGGUAUAAUCGGUUUCUCUCUUCUGACGAACUAUAAUGCCAUUAAUUUGGUGUUUUAGGGAAUCAGGACUGUUACUUUGAAAAAAUUAGAGUGUUUAAAGCAGGCUCACGCUUGAAUACAUUAGCAUGGAAUAACGAAAUAGGACGUUUGAUUUUAUUUUGUUGGUUUCUAGGAUCGACGUAAUGAUUAAUAGGGAUAGUUGGG
rnacentral:rRNA from 1 species